AACAGGAUUAGAUACCCUGGUAGUCCAUGCCGUAAACGAUGUCUACUAGCCGUUGGGGCCCUUGAGGCUUUAGUGGCGCAGCUAACGCGAUAAGUAGACCGCCUGGGGAGUACGGUCGCAAGACUAAAACUCAAAUGAAUUGACGGGGGCCCGCACAAGCGGUGGAGCAUGUGGUUUAAUUCGAUGCAACGCGAAGAACCUUACCUGGCCUUGACAUACAGAGAACUUUCCAGAGAUGGAUUGGUGCCUUCGGGAACUCUGAUACAGGUGCUGCAUGGCUGUCGCCAGCUCGUGUCGUGAGAUGUUGGGUUAAGUCCCGCAACGAGCGCAACCCUUUUCCUUAUUUGCCAGCACUUCGGGUGGGAACUUUAAGGAUACUGCCAGUGACAAACUGGAGGAAGGCGGGGACGACGUCAAGUCAUCAUGGCCCUUACGGCCAGGGCUACACACGUGCUACAAUGGUCGGUACAAAGGGUUGCUACACAGCGAUGUGAUGCUAAUCUCAAAAAGCCGAUCGUAGUCCGGAUUGGAGUCUGCAACUCGACUCCAUGAAGUCGGAAUCGCUAGUAAUCGCGGAUCAGGAUGCCGCGGUGAAUACGUUCCCGGGCCUUGUACACACCGCCCGUCACACCAUGGGAGUUUGUUGCACCAGAAGUAGGUAGUCUAACCGCAAGGAGGACGCUUACCACGGUGUGGCCGAUGACUGGGGUGAAGUCGUAACAAGGUAGCCAUAGGGGAACCUGCGGCUGGAUCACCUCCUU
rnacentral:rRNA from 1 species